rnacentral:tRNA from 1 species
GCUCGAGUGGCGGAAUAGGUAGACGCACAGGACUUAAAAUCCUGCGAGGUAACACUCAUGCCGGUUCAAGUCCGGCCUCGAGCACCA